UACGUAGGGCGCGAGCGUUGUCCGGAUUUAUUGGGCGUAAAGAGCUCGUAGGCGGCUUGUCGCGUCGAAUGUGAAAUCUCGGGGCUCAACUCCGAGCUUGCAUUCGAUACGGGCAGGCUAGAGUUCGGUAGGGGAGACUGGAAUUCCUGGUGUAGCGGUGAAAUGCGCAGAUAUCAGGAGGAACACCGGUGGCGAAGGCGGGUCUCUGGGCCGAUACUGACGCUGAGGAGCGAAAGCGUGGGGAGCGAACAGG
rnacentral:rRNA from 1 species